UAGUGCCUCUAUUUUAAUAAAGGAAUGUGCUAAACUCAGAGGCAAUAUAGUGCCUGGAAAAUGAAGGAACGAGGUUCAAUCCAGAGGAUAAAUCUAGUUCCUUCAAUCAAGAGCCUCUCACUGGCAUCAAGGAUUAUUAUUAGUCAAGGUAGUGCUAAACAAGAGGUCAUACAGCACCAGGGAAAUGGGUGGCAUUCAGGUUCGAUCCAAGAGGGCACAUACAAUUCUUUGGAUCAAGAGCCCCUCGCCGGCAGCAUGGAACCUCCUGCGAGAGGUCAAGGAAUAGAAAGUGGGAAGAAUCAUGGCAAACAUUAUAGUAGGUGUGGUCUCGAGGGCUUCAAGGGGCAUGGCAGGCGAGGAGUUUGCAGACGACUCUUCUACUAAGGAGACAAGGGAUGGGAUGACUGGUGUUGUAUGGAGUGAAUCAGCUGUGGCAGUAACAAUGACAGACACACCUUCCCCAGAACUACUAAUAAUACCAACGCCACUAUCAGAUGAACCCGGCCUUGGGCCAGUUCACGUGGUAGUUGCCUGGUCAAAAAGGCUACUGCUGCUGGUGGCCCGAUGAUCCACAUAUCCACUACAGCCUGGAUGAUCUGGCACCUAGUAAAGAUACUUUAACAAGCAUUUGGACACAGCAUUUUGAAUGGUUUCCUCGAUUCAAAACAGGAUGAACAUCAGUUGAAGAUGAUAACCACUCGGGUCUUCUAUCAACAUCAAAAACAAGACACCAAUGUUGAAAAAUGAAGAGGUUAUUAAUGAAGACCAUCGUCAGAGUAUCUAGAACAUUGUAAGUGCUGUGGGAAUUUUCCAUGGGUCGUGUCAAAGCAUUUUGACUGAAAAUUUGAAUAUGUGGCAAGUGGCUGUGAAACUUGUGCCUCAUUUGCUGACUCAAGACUAGAAAGACCAUUUUCUGGCCAAAAACAUGAUGUUCAUCCCCCACCUUCCCUACUCCCCAGAUAUAACCCCCUGAGAUUCAAGCAGAAUCAUAGGCUUUGCUAAAUGUCGUUAGGAAAGAAGAGUUCCAGAAAUGUUUUGAUAAGCGGCAGACUUGCUGGGAUCAGUGUAUAGCCACCCAAGGAGAGUACUUACAGGGAGACAACUUUAACUAGAUGUUUAGGUAAGCAUAGAUAUUUUUUUCGUAGCAGUCCAGGAACUUUUUGAUAACACAUGUAUAAUUAAUGUAAGUAGAGGUUUUUACGAUUUAUGUAUCAUCUUAUAUGUUCAUAAGACAAAGAAAAGAUCAGCAAUCCUGCCAGAAUGGAAAAAAAAAUUAAUAUGUUUCCAUGUCCCACUUCUUUGAUAGGAUGGUAGUACCUUCCUGUAGGGUUGCUGUCUUCCAACCCACUUCCUCCAGAUUUUUUAUAUAACAGUAUAAUGAGCACAUUUACAGUGCAGAAGUAUCAAGAAAUCAAUUUGCCAAAAAGACAGUGGAUGGGUGAAAAAGACCAUACUGCAAAACCAAAUAAAACAGGAUUCUCGCCAAAGUUAAGCAAAAUAUCCGAAAUUUAUUUAUCACGUGUUUCAAGAACAAGUGGAAUGGUGACAGCACUGUAGGCUUCAGCAGUUCAACCAAGCAAAUAUAAAUACAGUGGACCCCCGGUUAACGAACUUUUUUCAUUCCAGUAGUAUGUUCAGGUGCCAGUACUGACCGAAUUUUUUCCCAUAAGGAAUAUUGUGAAGUAGAUUAGUCCAUUUCAGACCCCCAAACAUACACGUACAAACGCACUUACAUAAAUACACUUACAUAAUUGGUCGCAUUUGGAGGUGAUCGUUAAGCGGGGGUCCACUGUAUUUUAAAGUGUUUAUAUUAUCUUUCAUGCUGUCACUCUACUGAAAAAAUAUAUAUACAUGUACUGUACUCAGUAUACACUGACCUGUUACUAGCAAUAUACAGUCAAACCAUUUCUCUCUCAACACACAACUGCAUAACCACACAACUGUCACCAAAAACAAGAUGUUCAGCUUUCCACACUUAACUUUCUUCACACAACAUAUGCACUUUUAUUCCUCAUACUUUAAAAAUAAUAGAGGCUAAAAAUACAACAGGUAUAAUGAGCAAAAUGUAAGACACAAAUUACUACACUGUAUUGUAACUAUUCUUCACUGGAAAAUAAAAAAAGACAAUUUGACUAUGUUUACCUGGCACUUUUUGG